AUCUGUACUUUUACUUAAGUAGGAACAUUUAGUACUUUUCCCACCACUGAACAAUGGUUAUUCUACAAGAGGAGCUGAAUUCCAUCAGUCCUCUGAGUGUUUCUGAUUUAUGCACCACUGAUGAACUGAAAAGUUGCCACAGAUUUUCUUUUUCCUUCAGACUUUUCAGACAUCACACAUGUACCACAAUAGAAUUACUGAAUUAUGAACAGAGAAAUGAUUAUUGUCUCUUGUCAACUACUAGAAAUGUGUCACUGAGCUGAACAAGGAUGGAGACUCCUGGAUUGGUCUACAGUUCACACAACAAAAAGGAUGGGAAUGGGUGGACGAGUCACCGCUGACAGUAAAGUUCUGGGCAACAGGACACCCGCACAGAAACAAUUACACUGCAGCAUUCUGCGAUCAACAAGGAAAAUGGACAACGAGCAGAUAUUAUGAUCAGAAGAACUGGAUCUGUGAGAAAGAGCUUUCCUGUUUAUCUUGAGGACAGAGGGGUGUGUAGUGUUGGGAUCAACUUUGUCAAAUCAGACCAACUCACAUUUUACAUUUCUUCAGUUGUUCAUUCUGUGUUGCAUCCUGAACAACCUGGAUUACAUAGAUAUUGUUCCUCUGCCCUACACAGUGAACAGUCUGGUUGGAAGUCAUCCACACAACUACAUGUGCACUUACCCUCUCUGCAGAGAGGGAUAUUACAACAGCCUGUUUUCAAAAAGCCUAAGAUGUCACAUACAUGACAACAAGGGGAAAGACGGCUCCUUUCUGUUUCAGUGUUAUUUAAGCCAUUAUCAUAAAGGACAAACCUCAUAGGCUUCUUCCACAGACCACUUACUGAUGUAGUUACACUUGGGAGGAGGAAAGAUUACGAAUGUGUUUUGGAGAGAAGGAUGCAUCUGAUUUUGAAUAAGAUUUUAAUCCAUCUUUAAUGCUUGGUUGCAUUUACACUUGGGCUGUUUUGCUAAUCAAAAGAUAUCAAAUCCACACAAGAUGCAUGAACUGAUAAUAAGUCACCUCCCCUGUAUGUGUGUCAGUAAGGAUGAUAUUCAAUCAUCUCUUUUGUUUUCUUCAUAAAAUUACAAGAGAACAGUUAUGUGUUUAACAUCUUAGGUUUAUUAUCAUCAUUGAACCAUUAAUACUUGUCACGUCAUUUCAUCUACUAGACAGAACAAAAAUAACUGGUCAACACAUCACAUUUCCUGUGUCAGAGAUGCAUGUGUGAAUAAACUAUAUGGAGAACAUGAAUGCAGCUUUGCACAAAUGUGUGAAUGUGAGCACAAACCUGCUGUUGAGUGAAAACCAUAUACUUCCUCAGUGUCACUGACAAAAAACAUCUUUAUGUUUCAGCUUUAAAUAUAGUUUUAUGCAGUUUAUGCCUCAAUUAAAGUCAAGUCUUCAAUAA